rnacentral:pre_miRNA from 1 species
UUUGGCCAGAUAAGCCCUUCUAAUAUGAGAAAAAGCCAUGCCAGCAUGCCACGUGGCCUGAAAAUGCCACGUCAACUUGGGGUAAAUCUUUUUUAAUUUUCAGAAAAUUUAUCCUAAAUUGGCGUCGUAUUUUCAGGCCAUGUGGCAUGCUGGAAUGUCUUUUUCACAUAUGAGAAGGGUUUAUCUGACCAAA